rnacentral:rRNA from 1 species
ACGGGAGGCAGCAGUGGGGAAUAUUGGGCAAUGGGCGAAAGCCUGACCCAGCAACGCCGCGUGAAGGAAGAAGGUCUUCGGAUUGUAAACUUCUUUUAUGGGGGACGAACAAAUGACGGUACUCCAUGAACAAGCCACGGCUAACUACGUGCCAGCAGCCGCGGUAAUACGUAGGUGGCAAGCGUUAUCCGGAUUUACUGGGUGUAAAGGGCGCGUAGGCGGGAAAGCAAGUCAGAUGUGAAAUCCAUGAGCUCAACUCAUGAACUGCAUUUGAAACUGUUUUUCUUGAGUGUCGGAGAGGUAGAUGGAAUUCCUAGUGUAGCGGUGAAAUGCGUAGAUAUUAGGAAGAACACCAGUGGCGAAGGCGAUCUACUGGACGAUAACUGACGCUGAGGCGCGAAAGCGUGGGGAGCAAACAGGAUUAGAUACCCUGGUA